UACAGAGGGGGCAAGCGUUGUUCGGAAUUACUGGGCGUAAAGGGCGCGUAGGCGGCCUUCUAAGUCGAACGUGAAAUCCCCGGGCUCAACCCGGGAACUGCGUCCGAUACUGGAAGGCUUGAAUCCGGGAGAGGGAUGCGGAAUUCCAGGUGUAGCGGUGAAAUGCGUAGAUAUCUGGAGGAACACCGGUGGCGAAGGCGGCAUCCUGGACCGAGAUCGACGCUGAGGCGCGAAAGCUAGGGGAGCAAACGGG
rnacentral:rRNA from 1 species